UUUCGAUUUGAUAUUUCUGGCAGAGCAGAAAAAGGCCUUUGCUCCUUUGUUUUGAAACUGUAAAGAAAUGGGUGGUUCCAAAUCAAAAGAACUUGAUGAACCAUGGAGGGAAAUACAAUGGGGCAAUCAGGAGAAAGAAAAACUUAUGAAAGAAAUAAGGACCUUAACACCAAGAUACACAGAAGCAAAAGAAUUAAGAAUCAUGAUGGCUGGACAGAUCUUUGCUGGAACGUCCAGUUACAUCAAUACAAUUGAUUCUGCGUUACAAGGUCAUUUGUCAAGCCGGGCUUUGGCAUGUGUAGAUGAACACCGUGUUACCAAGAAGGUUAGUAGCCAUCUAGAGGGUGUGUUGAAUGGAAUAAUUUGGAAUAUUCAA
rnacentral:lncRNA from 1 species